rnacentral:RNase_P_RNA from 1 species
GGAGUUGACCGGGUAGCCGCUGUGCGUCAAGCAUGGAGGAAAGUCCGGGCUUCACAGGGCAAAGUGCCAGGUAAUACCUGGGAGGCGUGAGCCUACGGAAAGUGCCACAGAAAAGAUACCGCCAUGGCGACAUGGUAAGGGUGAAAUGGUGCGGUAAGAGCGCACCGCGUUGAUGGUAACAUCAAUGGCAGGGCAAACCCCACUUGAAGCAAGACCAAAUAGAGAUCCUAAGGCGUGGCCCGCGUUGGAUCUGGGUUGGUCGCAAGAGGUGAUUGGUGACAAUCAUCCCAGAUGAAUGGCUAUCCACGACAGAACCCGGCUUACAGGUCGACUCCUUUU